CCCGCACAAGCGGCGGAGCAUGCGGAUUAAUUCGAUGCAACGCGAAGAACCUUACCAAGGCUUGACAUACACCGGUAACGCCCAGAGAUGGGUGCCCCUUUGUGGUCGGUGGACAGGUGGUGCAUGGUUGUCGUCAGCUCGUGUCGUGAGAUGUUGGGUUAAGUCCCGCAACGAGCGCAACCCUCGUCCUAUGUUGCCAGCGGGUCAUGCCGGGGACUCAUGGGAGACUGCCGGGGUCAACUCGGAGGAAGGUGGGAUGACGUCAAAUCAUCAUGCCCCUUAUGUCUUGGGCUUCACGCAUGCUACAAUGGCCGGUACAAAGGGCUGCGAUACCGCGAGGUGGAGCGAAUCCCAGAAAGCCGGUCUCAGUUCGGAUUGGGGUCUGCAACUCGACCCCAUGAAGUCGGAGUCGCUAGUAAUCGCAGAUCAGCAACGCUGCGGUGAAUACGUUCCCGGGCCUU
rnacentral:rRNA from 1 species